AUGUGGACCCGUAUGAAACACGGCCGUGGAGUAGAAACCCUGAAGACCAACCGCUAUGGACGUAGCCGGACAUAUUUUCGUACCUUGUCUGUGGAGUCAGCGCGUACAAGUCGUCAUUCAAACAAAGGUGCUGCACUCUCAAAGACUGAACCAGCAUUGCAGCCAUGGGUCACUGUGAGCAUCACAGGGAAGGUUGAAGCCGCCCACUGCACCUGUAUGGCCGGAGUCACAGAGACCUGCAUCCACGUCACUGCUCUUCUGUUUAAUGUAGAAGCAACAGUGCGGAUCUGUGGCACGAGGACUGUUACAGAUGAACCUCCAUACUGGGUUUUGCCUGGUAAUAUGACCAAGAUACAGCCAGAGGUUGGCCAUAAGAUAGACUUCUCCUCUUCAGCUGCCCAAAAAAGGCUCUUGAUCAAAACAUAAACAGACCAUCCGUAUUGAAAGGUAAAAGGAGCCGUCCUCAAAAAAGAAAAAUCCCACCUGCUACUGUGGAGGAGUUGUCACUGCUAUAAUGCCAUAAUGUUUUAUAUAGGGGUCUAGAUUUAUACCUGAAGUGCACUGCCAUGUAAAUAAUUUGCAUUUACUGAAUAUGUACUGAGUACUACUGUUCAAAAAUUUAAUAAAGAAACAAACUAAUUUUUGCCUCCUUUUUUUUUUUUUUUAAUUAAAACCACUUUAUAGAAAAUCACAUCAGUUACAGUGUAGAAUCCAUGUCAUUUAUAGUUUACAAAUGACAAAAUGUUUACACAAAAUCAUGACAGUGUUUACACGAUAUCACCCACUACUAACAUUAUUUACUGUAUCUUUUGAAAAAAAAAUACCACUAUUUAUACAGCAUAAGACUUAAGAAUAUUUAACAGGAGCAAGUUUCAUUUUCCCUGGUUUUACUACCACACUGUUCACCAAACGCAGCGAACCUUCACCAUCUUAUCCUGAAGGGUCACCUCUUCACCCUCACAUGGAAGAAGUAAUCUGAUUGGCAUGGUGGUAAGUUUGAAGCAGGUCCCUUGUGUAGCGCUGGAACCCAGUCACGAUGUGUUUCAUCCAUUUCAUAGGCUGGUUUGCUGCAAUAUUGCCAAAUAAUUAGCAACUCUAUAAAGAGAAGGUAGUUCCGCAAAAUCACUCAGUAGGAUGUUUGUUCUACUUUGCUAUGACCUCAGAGCGCAUCGAAAAUAAAACUAAUAGGCUAUAAAGAGUGAUGUGAACAUAUUUAGAACUUACCGGAAUGAAACUGUGGAGCACCAACAGAUAUUUGGAGAUGGAAGAGAGCUGGAUAUCAGCUCGUCUCACAGCUGCUAUCCAGACUAGACGCCUUCGUUUGGUAACAUCGAUACACGAGCUGCCUCAUGUUGCUUCCAGGUUGGGAAAGAAUGAAAAGACAAACCCUUUUCAAGCUUAUUCUCUUGCCGGUCGUGCGAUCGAACAUUGCAGCGGACCACACAGCCUUCGCUCCCUUUUCGCUUGCGCUUUGUUUCAAGAGCUUUAGACCCCCAAAAUGGCGGAUCGGGCCAAAAUCCUUUCCACGCCCACCCCCGUGACAUCACGCUUCAAAGCCCUAUAGACUUCGUGGCCCAACAUAUCCCAGAAUGCAUAUCGCGGCGGUGGGUGUGGAUAAUUUUGCCGAAAAAAAAAUGGCAGAAGAGGAGCGACCGAAGAGUAAACUGUUAAAAGUAAGUACUGAAUAUUAUGUCACUUAUUUAUGUGCAAAUGUUUAAUAACAAAGAACAUUAAAACAUUACUGCUGGCCACAUGUCGGCA
rnacentral:lncRNA from 1 species